UGCAAGUCGAACGAUGAUGCCCAGCUUGCUGGGUGGAUUAGUGGCGAACGGGUGAGUACACGUGAGUAACCUGCCCUUGACUUCGGGAUAACUCCGGGAAACCGGGGCUAAUACCGGAUAUGAGCCGUCCUCGCAUGGGGGUGGUUGGAAAGUUUUUCGGUCAGGGAUGGGCUCGCGGCCUAUCAGCUUGUUGGUGGGGUGAUGGCCUACCAAGGCGACGACGGGUAGCCGGCCUGAGAGGGCGACCGGCCACACUGGGACUGAGACACGGCCCAGACUCCUACGGGAGGCAGCAGUGGGGAAUAUUGCACAAUGGGCGAAAGCCUGAUGCAGCGACGCCGCGUGAGGGAUGAAGGCCUUCGGGUUGUAAACCUCUUUCAGCAGGGAAGAAGCGCAAGUGACGGUACCUGCAGAAGAAGCGCCGGCUAACUACGUGCCAGCAGCCGCGGUAAUACGUAGGGCGCAAGCGUUGUCCGGAAUUAUUGGGCGUAAAGAGCUCGUAGGCGGUUUGUCGCGUCUGGUGUGAAAACUCGAGGCUCAACCUCGAGCUUGCAUCGGGUACGGGCAGACUAGAGUGCGGUAGGGGAGACUGGAAUUCCUGGUGUAGCGGUGGAAUGCGCAGAUAUCAGGAGGAACACCGAUGGCGAAGGCAGGUCUCUGGGCCGCAACUGACGCUGAGGAGCGAAAGCAUGGGGAGCGAACAGGAUUAGAUACCCUGGUAGUCCAUGCCGUAAACGUUGGGCACUAGGUGUGGGGCUCAUUCCACGAGUUCCGUGCCGCAGCAAACGCAUUAAGUG
rnacentral:rRNA from 1 species